rnacentral:rRNA from 1 species
UUUAACGAGAGUUUGAUCCUGGCUCAGGAUGAACGCUGGCGGCGUGCCUAACACAUGCAAGUCGAACGAAGCGCUUUACUUUGAUUUCUUCGGAUUGAAAAGUUUUGUGACUGAGUGGCGGACGGGUGAGUAACGCGUGGGUAACCUGCCUCACACAGGGGGAUAACAGUUAGAAAUGACUGCUAAUACCGCAUAAGACCCCGGCACCGCAUGGUGCAGA